rnacentral:rRNA from 1 species
GACGAACGCUGGCGGCGUGCUUAACACAUGCAAGUCGAACGGAAAGGCCCUGCUUUUGUGGGGUGCUCGAGUGGCGAACGGGUGAGUAACACGUGAGUAACCUGCCCUUGACUUUGGGAUAACUUCAGGAAACUGGGGCUAAUACCGGAUAGGAGCUCCUGCUGCAUGGUGGGGGUUGGACAGUUUCGGCGGUUGGGGAUGGACUCGCGGCUUAUCAGCUUGUUGGUGGGGUAGUGGCUUACCAAGGCUUUGACGGGUAGCCGGCCUGAGAGGGUGACCGGCCACAGUGGGACUGAGAUACGGCCCAGACUCCUACGGGAGGCAGCAGUGGGGAAUAUUGCACAAUGGGCGGAAGCCUGAUGCAGCAACGCCGCGUGCGGGAUGACGGCCUUCGGGUUGGAAACCGCUUUCGCCUGUGACGAAGCGUGAGUGACGGUAAUGGGUAAAGAAGCACCGGCUAACUACGUG